GGAGAGGAGAGAUCGAUGGACAGAUUCGUGUUUACCUCGAUUCAAAUUGACGCUUAUGUCGGCGAACAUCUUCGUAAUAACACGUAAAAUCUGUUUUUCCAUGAUUGACCGAGUGUUAUUGCCGAGUCUUCCCUCGCCACGUGGCGAUAAAAGCUCGAUUAAUCGAGCCAUUACGACGUCUCCGCACUCCUUAUACGUCUAAUUCCAUUCCAUCGUUGGUCGUCCUAGUUUUUCUUCUCGUCUAUGAUUGUUUUCCUCGAGAGUCUGGUGGAAGGUCGAAGGUUAGAGGAUAGUUUUAACGAGUCUUACCUAGAUGCCUCUCCUCCCCUCCCCCCUCUCCUCAUCUUCCCUUUGCUCGCGUUUAAGGGUGAGGAUUUCGUUACUCCAUCGUCCGAUAAUUUGACGCGGUAACGACGCGGUAAUCAAGAGUAACGAUCGAACCAUCUUCUUGGAUCUUCUUUGGAAAUAGAAAUGACUCGAUCGUUGUAUGCCCAUCAUAAGAUGGGCGUAACGAUUUCUUCGAAACGACGGAGCGAAAAGAAAUAAUAACGAUCGUACGAGGGUGUUCGUACAUACGAGGCGGACAAGAUAUCCCUAUUCUUAUUCGCUUUACAUGUCUUCCCUUUACAAUUUUUACUAUUCUCCGAGGAACCGUAAAAUUCGACACGAUGGUACGUGGUUCGAUGGCCGAUUCGAAUAAAAAUCGAAACGAUCCUAUUACCGAGAGUUUCCCAGAUCGAUGGACGCAACAUAGAGUUUUGAUUAUCGAUUAUCGACUAUCUCAUUUUAGUUUUUUCGAAUAAAAUAAGCACGUGUAAAGAAUGAUCAAAUAUUAUCCUAGUGGUAAAUCUAUUCUUUUUCUCCACGAAACUCGA